CCUCCCCCCUGCAGCUCCGCGCAGCGCCCUCCUCCAGCGCUCCGUGAGGAGACGGGGCCGGGAGGGGGAGAGACCCGCGGCGGCGGGGAAGCCGGGAGAGGCUUGGAGGGAAGAAAAGGACGGGGCAGACGCGCACGCGGGAGGAGGAGGAGGAGGAGGACUGAUCCCAGGCGCGGCUCUGCGGAGGAAGAGUGGGUGCCGCCUGUUCUAAAGGGGGAGGAGGCAGAGGGGGAAGGAAGAGCGUGCAGAGCGGAGCCUCCUCCAGAGACAGCCAGACACAGAGGGAGGAGAGAGGUUGCCUGGCUGGCUCCCCCUUCCUCCCUCCCUCCUUUUCAUGGACUCUCUUGUCGGGCUGCUGCUUUUCUUCCUUCCUUAUUCCGUCUCUUUAAUACCCAAAAUGAUUCAGCUCCAUGGCUGCCACUGAUGGGGAUGUCCCUGCCCGGCUCAGCCUGCCGCUGCCGCCCUGCUGUGCGCCAGUCCUCCUGACUCAGCCGCAGACAUUAGUGCUAGGAAGAUGGCGCACCCGGCAAUGUUUCCUAGAAGGGGCAGCAGCAGUAGCAGCGGCAGCAGCUGCGUUACUGCUCCCACUGCACCAGGUACCGGCGUUGGGAGCGCUGCCCUCUCCGCCGAGGAUUAUCAGCCGCCUUUGCUGGUUCAGCCGCCGCCUCCAUCUCCUGCAGUAUCUUCAUCAGCGGGUUCACAGCCGACACCGCCUCCUCCACAAAGCCUCAACCUCCUCUCACAGUCUCAGCUCCAGCCACAGCCUCUUGCACAGACUGGAGCUCAAAUGAAAAAGAAAAGUGGCUUCCAAAUUACCAGUGUGACCCCUGCUCAGAUAUCAGCUAGUAUGAGCUCUAAUAACAGCAUAGCCGAGGAUACAGAAAGCUAUGAUGACCUGGAUGAGUCCCACACUGAAGACCUGUCGUCUUCAGAAAUCUUGGAUGUUUCUCUAUCCAGGGCCACUGACUUGGGAGAACCUGAGAGGAGCUCCUCUGAAGAGACUUUAAAUAACUUCCAAGAGGCAGAGACUCCUGGGGCUGUUUCUCCAAACCAGCCUCAUCUUCCUCAGCAGCACGCUCCUCUGCCUCAUCACCCACAGCAGAGUGUUGUGAUCAAUGGAAGUGUUCACCCCCAUCAUGUUCAUCACCACCACCACCUUCACCAUCACCAUCAUGGACACCAUCAUCCAUCACAUCCUGGGGUGGGCAGUGCCCCUAUUUCUGGAGGACCACCGCCCAGUCCAUCAUUUAGAAAACUAUCAACAACUGGAAGCUCUGACAAUGUUAUAUCAACUGCACCAGUUUCUGCUGCAUCAUCCACUGGUUCCCCGGCAUCUGUUGUGUCUAAUAUCCGCACUACAAGUACUCCUGGCAGUUUAGGUGUAAGUCCUGCUACUGGAACUAGUACCUUAAAUAAUAUGGGUGGUGGUAGUUCUAGUGUGGCAAGCAGCAUGCUUGGUACUAUAAAUUUAAGCAACAUCCCAAGUACUGGUAAUGUAAAUGCUUUGUCUGGAACUAGCAGCAAUGUUAAUGUGAAUAUCUUGAGUGGCAUUGGCAAUGGUACGAGUGCUUCCUCUAGUGUCAUUAACAAUGUUACUAAUGCAACUGCAGGAAUGGCAGUGGGAUCAAGCCAGCAGCAGCCUGCAUCUGGCACAUCAAGGUUUAGGGUUGUAAAAUUAGAUUCCAGUUCUGAACCUUUCAAAAAAGGUAGAUGGACAUGCACUGAGUUCUAUGAUAAAGAAAACACUGUUGCAGUUUCAGAAGGAGUAGCAGUAAACAAAGCAGUAGAGACGAUAAAACAAAAUCCGCUUGAAGUGACUUCUGAAAGGGAGAGCACCAGUGGGAGUUCUGUUAGCAGCAAUGUAAGCACACUGAGUCACUAUACAGAAAGUGUGGGAAGUGGAGAAAUGGGAGCACCUACUGUGGUACAGCAGCAAGCGUUUCAAGGUGUGGGUCCGCAGCAGAUGGAUUUUAGCAGCGCCGCUCCUCCGGCAAUUCCAGCAUCUACUAUACCACAGAGUGUUUCUCAAUCACAGCUUGCACAAGUCCAGCUGCAUUCUCAAGAAGUAAACUAUCCACAGCAGAAGCCAGGGGUCCAACCUCCUGCACAGGCCAGUCUAACCACUGUUACUGGGGUUCAGCCAGCCCCGGUUAAUAUACUAGGUGUAUCCCCGUCUCUGGGCCACCAGCAACCUGCUGUUCAAAGUAUGGCUCAACAGCAGCUACCGUAUUCUCAGCCGGCGCAGCCUGUGCAGACGUUGCCAGUUGUGCAGCAGCAGCAGUUGCAGUAUGGACAACAGCAACAGCAGCAGCAACAGACAGUUCCUACGCAGAUGGCCGCAAGUCAUGUUAAGCCGGUGAACCAAAACUCCGUUACGGGGGCUAUGCCAGACUACAUUCAACAUCAGCAGAUCCUUCAGACUCCAGCCCCUGCGAUGCAGCCCAGUUCUACAGGAGUGGGAGCGGGGCAACCAGUUCCUGUUGCCCAGGCACAGAGCAUGCAGCCUUCGGUACCAGCACAUCCAGCUGCUGCCCCAGCUCAGCCUGUUGCACAUGCUCCGGCAGCGAUACCAGGUGUAGGUGCCAGUGGUCAAAUGCUGAAUGUUGGGCAGCAAGGAAGCGUAGCCACUGUGGUGCAACCACCAUCUGCUGCAAACCAAAUUCCACCUCCAGUCAUGCCGUCGACGGCUGCUCCUCCAUCUUCACAAGUGGUGCAGCCUGUGCAGGCAGGAAUAAUGCAGCAGGGAUUACAGGCUAGUGCUUCAGGCCUUCCUCAGCAAGUGGUCAUUGCUCAGCAAAACACCUUGUUACCUGUACAGUCGCAGGCACAAGGAGUGGAGUCUGUAGUCCAAGGAAUGACUGGUCAGCAGCUGCCUGCGGUUAGCCCUAUACCUUCUGCUAGUACUGUUCCUGCACCAAGCCAAGCUGGUUCAGCUGUGCCAACUGGCAUACCUUCCGCUUCUAUAGGUUUGGGACAGCCACAGAAUAUAGCACAAGCUUCGGCCAUGCAGAACGGGAAUUUGGCUCAAAGUGUUAGUCAGCCUCCCUUGAUAUCCACAAGUAUAGGUAUGCCAGUGGCACAGAGUGUGCCACAGCAGAUACCGCUAAGCUCUACCCAGUUCCCUGCACAAUCACUAGCUCAGUCAAUUGUAAGCCAAACUGAAGAUGGCAGACGCCCUACAGAACCUUCCUUAGUGGGUUUACCUCAAGCUGCCAGUGGUGAGAGUGGUGUUGGAGCAUCAGCCGUUUCAGAUGGCGGUAGCAGCAGCAUGCCAUCCUCUGCUUCCCUCUUUCCGCUGAAGGUGCUGCCAUUGACGACGCCCCUCGUAGAUGGUGAGGAUGAGAGUCUUUCUGCCUCCCUAUCCUGGAAGUAUGGAGUCCCUGCCUCAGCCUACGGCUUCAUUCUUUUUCCAGCUGCCCACAAAAGUAAAGAACCAGUGUGAGAGUUUGAAGAAAGAAUCCGCUCAGAGGACUGAGUCUCAAGCAAAAGCUCCAGGUUGCAGACUCAGAAAGAAACUUCCUUUGGGGAAGGAUCUGCUUCCAGGAUUUGCUCGUCUCUUUUUCCUUGGGCAAACAGAGUUCUUGACGCAAACAACAGGGUUGCAGGACACCUUCUAACCUUUAUACUGCAUCACAAGCCUUCAGCAGAAGAUCUUGAGAGCCAUUUAUGUUGCUGGAAGAUGACUGGGUUUGGAUCUUGGCCUUCCUUAAGCAGGAUCUCCUGACAAAAAUGGGAUUGGGAAAGAAAUGACUCCUUUUUCCAUCACACAGAGCCACCCUAAAAAUGGAGGCCUAGGCAGAAAAUUACUUCUAAUGCUUAAUUCUUUAGGAAACUUGUUUGGCCUCCCAUGGUCCUUUUGUUACAAUGUCAUAAAGAUGUCUUAAAAAACCUAAACCUGGCAUCUUCCUAUCUGAAGAUCAAGUCAGGUCUAAUAAUGUGAUCGGAUCUUGCUGUCCCCUGCAUAGGAGAUGCCACGUCAAUCUGUGAAACAGGGUUCUGCUGUGGUUCACACUGUUACAUUUGUAAAACCUUUUCUACUUAUAGUCCAUUUAAAUGAUUAGAAAUAAUACUAAUAAAGCUUCUGGUGAAAAUGGUAUUUCAUUAGGCUUCUGCCUCUUCAAGUUUACUUAAAAAUAAAUUUGAGCCAAAAGUGUCUCAAUGGCAAUAUCAGAAGUACUGCAUCUUUUGAGGUUUCCUGUGGUUUUGGUUCUAGAAAAGGUACAUUGGAAGUGUUGAGAGCUAUGAAAGUGGAAAAACUUAGACUUUUUUUUCUUUAAGAGUGAAAAGUUAUUUGUUAGAAAGCAGAAAGCUUUAAUUGUUUUCCCCCUAAGGGAUUCUAUAGUCUAAUUUAAUUAAAUGUCUUGCGAGAUCUCAAAUAAAAACCUUAUGUUUGGCAGUAGUGAACAACACAUGCGCAUGCCCGUGUACUUUUUGUUCUUUGCACUAUAGGAAAUUAGUUUUGAAGAACAGGACUUACUUUUAAUGUUCAGGUUAGGAAAAGGGAAAGCUUUGUUCUGAAGGUGAGUGUGAGGAGGGUUGGCAGGAGGGUGAACCAGACCCUCUGGCAGUAGGUAAAGAGCACUUUUCCUGUUUUCUGCUUCUGGCAGUUGGAGUAAACUAGUCAGAUGCUUGUACUUGAAUCCAAUUAAUUUCUUAGAUCAGUUACCAUGAAACAUUGUUUUUUAACUGAUGCCUAGAUCUUUCAUUAAAUUCACCAGUGCAUUUAAAUUGUUGAACAGUCUUUAAUGUAGCCCUGAGGCUACUGCUUCAUGGCAGUUGGGACUUCUUACUAUGCUGGAAUGCAUUGCAGUCUUAGUACAUUCUAAAAAUAAUUGUUCAGGUGGUGCUGUUUAAGUACAUACUUAUGUAGUGAGCCGUUUUCAAUGGACUUUCUGAAAUUUGGCUCUCUGCAUAGCUUUUUAAUUUUUUUUUUGCUGUGAAUAUCAAACUUCUUUGUCUUGCUGUUUCUGUGGUUAUCAAGUAAAAUGCUAUAUUUAUAACCUGGUGUUUUUAGAAAACUGAUAGUCAGAUGCAUGUGUUAACCUAUGCAACCCCAGUAACACUUGUGAACUUUGAAGUUUAAAGAGAAAUCAGUUGAAGUCUGAUGUAUCAAAUUCAAUACUUUUUUUUUAAUAUGUGGAAAUAUGUAUGUGAUGACCUUAAAAUUGAGUAGUAGGUACAGAUGCGAAUUGCAUGCGGAACAGGAGUAAUCUAGAAGUUAAAGCUGAAGAUCUGUGGGUCUCAGAAAUAAAUACUAACAUCUGUGGCUAGAGAUCUGUGCCAGCAGUGCCUCUAGUUGAAAAUACCUGUUUUUCUAACCUCUAGUCCAUUUAAGGUUUGAUAUGUUUUGUGCCUGCCUUAAUAGGUACAACUGCCUCAGCCAAAGUUUUUUUUGUCAUUUUGUUCUGUAGUAUAAGGUAAAUUUAAGGCCGUCAAAUACUUAUGAACACUAAAUACUUGUGGUAAAAUAACAGGCAUUGAGAACUGUUUCUAAUGUUAUUAUCUCAGUUGCUAAAAUGACUUUACUCUUCCCCUCUUCUCCAUAGUCACAAUUAAAAGAAAAAACCCAAACUACCCAAACCAAAACAAAAAGCCCCAUUGCUGUUCUACAGUCAGUGUUUUGAUACUACUUGUCUAUCAUCACUGUGUUAGUAUAUUACUAUCAUGGUCUGAGUUUUGCAGCUGGAAUCCUGGGUUCUUGAUACAUCUUUAGAGCAAUAACUCCUGCCUUUGUGUUACUAAAUAAUAAAGAUGUCUAAAACCA